ACGCUCCGCACUCCACCGUCACUUGCAUUUCCCGCCGCCGACGCCAUUUUGACGCAGCGGCCACUGAGCGGGACCGGCCGCCCGCGCCGCGGGGCACGACGGGAGACGCCGCCGCCGCCAUCUUGCUUAAGGGAGACGGGGUGGGCGCCAGCGGGAGUUGAGGGUGGAGAUCCAGGGAAUGUAGCGGCUUGGGUUAAUGACACCGGUUUCAGGGCUAACGUGCAGGCGGUGCAGAGAGAGAUUCUUCCUAAGCGGAGUUGUAUGGGGUUGGGGUACAACAGGGUGUGCCACCUCACUGCUCAACCACCGCCCUCCCCCCCCCCCCCCCCGCCCCCUCCCCGGCCUCCACACGGGCACCCCCUUGGAAUGUUGGAAAGUAGAUGCUGCUGCGUGAAGCUUUCAAACAUGUUUUCUCAACUCAUGCACGGGUUGUUUUCUGCUAUAUGUGUUGCCUGCAAAUGUGUGCAGGAAUGUGUAUGUUGACCUCAUUUUCUUAUACUGUUAAUAGGAUAAACAUUGCCACAUAGCAAUAAAGCACUGGUGAAUAAUGUAA